rnacentral:rRNA from 1 species
GUAAUUUGACCGUGCAAAGGUAGCAUAAUCAUUAGUCUUUUAAUUGGAGGCUUGAAUGAAAGGUUUGACGGAGGAGAAGCUGUCUUGCUUGUUGAAAUUGAAUUUAACUUUUGUGUGAAAAGGCAUUAAUGGUUUAGAGGGACGAUAAGACCCUAUAAAACUUUACAUGUUGAUAUUGUUUGAUAAAAUAGUUUAAUUAAUUAUUGAGUGGUAGGUUGUGUUUUGCUGGGGCGGCAGAGAUAUAAUUCUAACUGUUUUAAAUAUGAAAUAUUUAUUAAUAGAGAGUGGUCCUUUAUUUAAGAGGUAAGAAUAAGUUACUUUAGGGAUAACAGCAUAAUUUUUUUUGAGAGUUCUUAUCGAAGAUAAUAGUUGUGACCUCGAUGUUGAAUUAAAUUUUCCUUUAGGUGUAGGAGUUU